CAAGAAUAGAAAGGUGACCAAAAGCCAUACUCGCCGCACUCUGGGUCAUAGAAAAAGUGUAUGCUCCAUCGUCUCAUCCUCCAAACCACAGCAUGGGUAGGAAGUCGGAAUGCCCAUCCCUCUGGCUCGCAGCAAAACUUUGAUAGGUAGCCGAAACCACACCACUUUUUAAAAAAACAGACUAACCAUGGGGUGGAUCUGAAGCCUCCAAAUCUAGGCACCAUCCAUCAUUCUCAUUGGCUCACCCC
rnacentral:lncRNA from 1 species